CCUACGGGAUGCACCAGUGGGGAAUCUUGGACAAUGGGCGAAAGCCCGACCCAGCAAUAUCGCGUGAGUGAAGAAGGGCAAUGCCGCUUGUAAAGCUCUUUCGUCGAGUGCGCGAUCAUGACAGGACUCGAGGAAGAAGCCCCGGCUAACUUCGUGCCAGCAGCCGCGGUAAUACGAAGGGGGCUAGCGUUGUUCGGAAUUACUGGGCGUAAAGCGCGCGUAGGCGGAUAGAUAAGUCAGAGGUGAAAUCCCGGGGCUCAACCCCGGAAUUGCCUUUGAUACUGUUUAUCUUGAGUGCAGAAGAGGUAAGUGGAAUUCCGAGUGUAGAGGUGAAAUUCGUAGAUAUUGGGAAGAACACCGGUGGCGAAGGCGGCAACCUGGCUCGAUACUGACGCUGAGGCGCGAAAGCGUGGGGAGCAAACAGGAUUAGAUACCCCUGUAGUC
rnacentral:rRNA from 1 species